UAUUAUUCAGCUUAAAGAAAUGGUAUCGUGGCGAACUGAGUUCGGGUUGCAAGUACCCGGAUUUGGGGUCGCCACAGGUUGGUAUCAAAGCUGUAGGUUAUAAACGUUAGGAAUGCAAAACCUAGGUUAUAACCUUAGUAGAAUGGAGGACGAAAGUUAAGAUAGAUAUUCAGUGGACCAUGAGACGAAGUACUCUGGUGAAGAAUUAUAGGAUAUGUUAGAUAGAUGAUGAGUCGAGAAGAUUCAUCAAGUGGUACUAAAUAAAAUAUUCCUUCAUUUUAUCGAUGAAUAUAUUUUAUUUCGGUACUAAUGUUGUCUCGUUUAUUAUGGUCAUAGGA
rnacentral:lncRNA from 1 species